UUUUGACUAGUAUAUCGGUUCAGUACACCCGCUUGUCAUAAUAAGGGUGUCCUCAGUUCGCGGGAGAGCAGGGUUCGACUCCCUGGUCGAGAG